GGGGGCUAGCGUUGUUCGGAAUCACUGGGCGUAAAGGGCGCGUAGGCGGCUUUAUAAGUCGGGGGUGAAAGCCUGUGGCUCAACCACAGAAUUGCCUUCGAUACUGUAGAGCUUGAGACCGGAAGAGGUAAGUGGAACUGCGAGUGUAGAGGUGAAAUUCGUAGAUAUUCGCAAGAACACCAGUGGCGAAGGCGGCUUACUGGUCCGGUUCUGACGCUGAGGCGCGAAAGCGUGGGGAGCAAACAGG
rnacentral:rRNA from 1 species